rnacentral:rRNA from 1 species
ACGAACGCUGGCGGCAGGCCUAACACAUGCAAGUCGAGCGGCCGUAGCAAUACGGCAGCGGCGCACGGGUGAGUAACGCGUGGGAACCUGCCCUUCGGUUUGGAACAACCCUGGGAAACUAGGGCUAAUACCAAGUACGCCCUCCGUCCCGAAAGGGAUGAAGGGGAAAGAUUUAUCGCCGAAGGAGGGUCCCGCGUCCGAUUAGCUAGUUGGUGGGGUAACGGCCUACCAAGGCUACGAUCGGUAGCCGGUCUGAGAGGACGAUCGGCCACACUGGGACUGAGGCACGGCCCAGACUCCUACGGGAGGCAGCAGUGGGGAAUAUUGGACAAUGGGCGCAAGCCUGAUCCAGCCAUGCCGCGUGGGUGAUGAAGGCCUUCGGGUUGUAAAGCCCUUUUGGCGGGGACGAUGAUGACGGUACCCGCAGAAUAAGCCCCGGCUAACUUCGUGCCAGCAGCCGCGGUAAU